rnacentral:rRNA from 1 species
CCUACGGGAGGCAGCAGUAGGGAAUCUUCCACAAUGGACGAAAGUCUGAUGGAGCAACGCCGCGUGAGCGAUGAAAGCCUUCGGGUCGUAAAGCUCUGUUGUUAGGGAAGAACACGUACCGGAGUAACUGCGGGUACCUUGACAGUACCUAACCAGAAAGCCACGGCUAACUACGUGCCAGCAGCCGCGGUAAUACGUAUGUGGCAAGCGUUGUCCGGAAUUAUUGGGCGUAAAGCGCGCGCACGCGGUCCUUUAAGUCUGAUGUGAAAGCCCACGGCUCAACCGUGGAGGGUCAUUGGAAACUGGGGACUUGAGUGCAGAAGAGGAAAGCGGAAUUCCACGUGUAGCGGUGAAAUGCGUAGAGAUGUGGAGGAACACCAGUGGCGAAGGCGGCUUUCUGGUCUGUAACUGACGCUGAGGCGCGAAAGCGUGGGGAGCAAACAGGAUUAGAUACCCUGUAGUCCACGCCGUAAACGAUGAGUGCUAAGUGUUAGAGGGUUUCCGCCCUUUAGUGCUGCAGCUAACGCAUUAAGCACUCCGCCUGGGGAGUACGGCCGCAAGGCUGAAACUCAAAGGAAUUGACGGGGGCCCGCACAAGCGGUGGAGCAUGUGGUUUAAUUCGAAGCAACGCGAAGAACCUUAC